rnacentral:rRNA from 1 species
CCUACGGGUGGCAGCAGUGAGGAAUAUUGGUCAAUGGGCUUACGCCUGAACCAGCCAAGUCGCGUGAGGGAAGACUGCCCUAUGGGUUGUAAACCUCUUUUGUCAGGGAGCAACGCCGGCUACGUGUAGCCUGACUGAGAGUACCUGAAGAAAAAGCAUCGGCUAACUCCGUCCCAGCAGCCGCGGUAAUACGGAGGAUGCGAGGGUUAUCCGGAUUUAUUGGGUUUAAAGGGUGCGUAGGUGGAAUGCCAAGUCAGCGGUAAAUUCGCGGGCUUCAACCUCGCUCCGCCGUUGAAACUGGCGUUCUUGAGUGGGCGAGAGGUAUGCGGAAUGCGUGGUGUAGCGGUGAAAUGCAUAGAUAUCACGAAGAACUCCGAUUGCGAAGGCAGCAUACCGGAGCCCAACUGACGCUGAAGCACGAAAGCGUGGGUAUCGAACAGGAUUAGAUACCCUUGUAGUC